rnacentral:rRNA from 1 species
ACUCCUACGUGAGCAGCAGGUGGGAAUAUUGGACAAUGGGCNAAAGCCUGAUCCAGCAAUGCCGCGUGAGUGAUGAAGGCCCUAGGGUUGUAAAGCUCUUUUACCCGGGAAGAUAAUGACUGUACCGGGAGAAUAAGCCCCGGCUAACUCCGUGCCAGCAGCCGCGGUAAUACGGAGGGGGCUAGCGUUGUUCGGAAUUACUGGGCGUAAAGCGCACG